UUAAGCCUUCAAUUUAUGUUUUUUGUUCCUCCAGCAAAUUUCAAGGUUAAAAUUGAGCAAAUUCAAGGUUAAGAUAGGGUUCCUCUCACUCUAUGAAUCCGCCGGUGAUGGUAGCAAUGGGUUUUGGCCUUUCAGCUAAAGAACCGAUGUUUGUGCAAGAUUCUGAAUUUUCAGUUAUUAAAUGCAUUGGGCUCACUCAAGGCGCAUAGGCGUUGCCUGGGGCCUAGAAGAAAGUAGGAAAAAAAGCGAGGGGCUAAUAAAAGGCCUGUGCUCUACAAUUUUAACACCAUUAUUUGAAUUUAUACCUCAGGUAUGUAGACAAGAAUUUUUUUUGGGCAUUUAUGGGUGCAACAACUUUGUUUCCCGGUAUUGAAAUCGGUAUCCUUGUUGGGGUGAGCUACAGUUUCUGUAUUGCAUACUUCUUUUUGUGAUGGUUAUAAAGAAAAGCUAAAUAAGCGUUUGUGGGUCCGCCCAACCGGCCGUGCCACAUUCUAAAGACGGCUUGGUUGUGAAAUCUUGAAGAAGAUGUUUCUUUAUUAAUUUGAUUAUAGUUUAUAGCGAUGACGGAGUUAUAGCAUCCUUUAAUGUCCUAAACGGGGCGGUGAUUCCUUUCGGUCCGUGGAACCUGACGUGCAACGUGCGGCAUAAAAACAUAAAUAUCCGCGGCAACGCGCGGGCAUUCCCUUAUUUCAACUGUAAAAACUGAUUAGUUUUAAGUGAUGCAACAUCUCAAAGUGUUAGAAUGAUAGAUCUCUAUGUAAAAAGUAAAAAGUAAUUCGUUAGUCCUAAGGUUAAGAUUUGAUCCUAGAAAGGCAAUUAGAAAGUCUGGUAACACGAUGGAUGAGUCCCUAGAAAUUGCAUGGUAAUUCAUUGCAUUUAUAUCCUUUAGCAUUCAAAAUUCUUGUAGUUGUAUAAUUGAUAUACACGAUGGAUUUUUAUAUUCAUGUAUAUAGAACUUAGUAUGUUAUCUU
rnacentral:lncRNA from 1 species